rnacentral:rRNA from 1 species
CCUACGGGCGGCAGCAGUGAGGAAUAUUGGUCAAUGGGCGCGAGCCUGAACCAGCCAAGUAGCGUGAAGGAAGACUGUCCUAUGGGUUGUAAACUUCUUUUGUCAAGGAACAAAGUACGGCACGUGUGCCUUUUUGAGUGUACUUUAUGAAUAAGCAUCGGCUAACUCCGUGUCAGCAGCCGCGGUAAUACGGAGGAUACGAGUGUUAUCCGGAUUUAAUGGGGUUAAAGGGAGCGGAGAGGGGAUGAUAAGUCCGGUGGGAAAGUUGGCGGGUCAACCGUAAAAGUGCAGUUGAUACUGGACGCCUUGAGUGCAUGAGAGGUAGGCGGAAUGCGUGGUGUAGCGGUGAAAUGCAUAGAUAUCACGAAGAACUCCGAUUGCGAAGGCAGCCUACCAGCGUGCCACUGACAUUGAUGCACGAAAGUGUGGGUAUCGAACAGGAUUAGAUACCCGUGUAGUC